GGGGGUGUAACUCAGUGGUAGAGUGCCCGCUUCACAUGCACAGGGCCCUGGGUUUGAUCCCCACCACUGCCC
rnacentral:tRNA from 1 species